rnacentral:rRNA from 1 species
UACGUAGGGUGCGAGCGUUGUUCGGAAUUAUUGGCGUAAAGCGCGUGUAGGCGGCUAGGCAAGUCGGGUGUGAAAGCCCUCAGCUCAACUGAGGAAGUGCGCCCGAAACUGCUUGGCUUGAGUACCGGAGAGGAUGGCGGAAUUCCCAAGUAGAGGUGAAAUUCGUAGAUAUGGGGAGGAACACCGGUGGCGAAGGCGGCCAUCUGGACGGAUACUGACGCUGAGACGCGAAAGCGUGGGGAGCAAACAGG